ACCUGGCUGGCUCAGUCCGAAGAGUGUGCAACUCUUGAUUGCGGGGUCGUGAGUUCAAGUCCCACGUUGAGUG
rnacentral:tRNA from 1 species